ACGAAGGGGGCUAGCGUUGUUCGGAUUUACUGGGCGUAAAGCGCACGUAGGCGGUUCGUUAAGUCGGGGGUGAAAUCCUGGAGCUCAACUCCAGAACUGCCUUCGAUACUGGCGAUCUCGAGUCCGGAAGAGGUGAGUGGAACUCCUAGUGUAGAGGUGGAAUUCGUAGAUAUUAGGAAGAACACCAGUGGCGAAGGCGGCUCACUGGUCCGGUACUGACGCUGAGGUGCGAAAGCGUGGGGAGCAAGCAGG
rnacentral:rRNA from 1 species